UGCACCGUAGCACAACGGUAGUGCAGCUCCCUGUUAAGGAGACGGUUGCUGGUUCAAGCCCAGCCGGUGCAG
rnacentral:tRNA from 1 species